CAGCAUCCGCGGUAAUACGUAGGGUGCGAGCGUUAAUCGGAUUUACUGGGCGUAAAGCGUGCGCAGGCGGCCCGUUAAGACAGGUGUGAAAUCCCUGGGCUCAACCUAGGAAUUGCGCUUGUGACUGGCGGGCUCGAGUACGGUAGAGGGGGGUGGAAUUCCUGGUGUAGCAGUGAAAUGCGUAGAGAUCAGGAGGAACACCGAUGGCGAAGGCAGCCCCCUGGGCCUGUACUGACGCUCAUGCACGAAAGCGUGGGGAGCAAACAGGAUUAGAUUCCCUGGUGGUCCACGCCCUAAACAAUGGGUACUAGCCGGUUGGUGCGCGAGAGCGCUGAGUGGCGAAGCUAACGCGUGAAGUACCCCGCCUGGGGAGUACGGCCGCAAGGUUGAAACUUAAAGGAAUUGGCGGG
rnacentral:rRNA from 1 species